rnacentral:rRNA from 1 species
ACGAACGCUGGCGGCACGCUUAACACAUGCAAGUCGAAGGAGAGAAGAGAAGCUUGCUUUUCUGAUCUAGUGGCGGACGGGUGAGUAACACGUGAGCAAUCUGCCUUUCAGAGGGGGAUACCGAUUGGAAACGAUCGUUAAUACCGCAUAACAUAAUUGAACCGCAUGAUUUGAUUAUCAAAGAUUUAUCGCUGAAAGAUGAGCUCGCGUCUGAUUAGCUAGUUGGUAAGGUAACGGCUUACCAAGGCGACGAUCAGUAGCCGGACUGAGAGGUUGAUCGGCCACAUUGGGACUGAGACACGGCCCAGACUCCUACGGGAGGCAGCAGUGGGAAAUAUUGCACAAUGGAGGAAACUCUGAUGCAGCGAUGCCGCGUGAGGGAAGAAGGUUUUAGGAUUGUAAACCUCUGUCUUUGGGGACGAAAAAUGACGGUACCCAAGGAGGAAGCUCCGGCUAACUACGUGCCAGCAGCCGCGGUAAUACGUAGGGAGCGAGCGUUGUCCGGAAUUACUGGGUGUAAAGGGAGCGUAGGCGGGAUCGCAAGUCAGAUGUGAAAACUGUGGGCUUAACCCAUAAACUGCAUUUGAAACUGUGGUUCUUGAGUGAAGUAGAGGUAAGCGGAAUUCCUAGUGUAGCGGUGAAAUGCGUAGAUAUUAGGAGGAACAUCAGUGGCGAAGGCGGCUUACUGGGCUUUAACUGACGCUGAGGCUCGAAAGCGUGGGGAGCAAACAGGAUUAGAUACCCUGGUAGUCCACGCCGUAAACGAUGAUUACUAGGUGUGGGGGGACUGACCCCUUCCGUGCCGCAGCAAACGCAAUAAGUAAUCCACCUGGGGAGUACGACCGCAAGGUUGAAACUCAAAGGAAUUGACGGGGGCCCGCACAAGCAGUGGAGUAUGUGGAUUAAUUCGAAGCAACGCGAAGAACCUUACCAGGUCUUGACAUCGUAUGCAUAGCUCAGAGAUGAGUGAAAUCUCUUCGGAGACAUAUAGACAGGUGGUGCAUGGUUGUCGUCAGCUCGUGUCGUGAGAUGUUGGGUUAAGUCCCGCAACGAGCGCAACCCUUACUGUUAGUUGCUACGCAAGAGCACUCUAGCAGGACUGCCGUUGACAAAACGGAGGAAGGUGGGGAUGACGUCAAAUCAUCAUGCCCCUUAUGACCUGGGCCUCACACGUACUACAAUGGCUGUCAACAGAGGGAAGCAAAGCCGCGAGGUGGAGCGAACCCCUAAAAGCAGUCUUAGUUCGGAUUGUAGGCUGCAACCCGCCUACAUGAAGUCGGAAUUGCUAGUAAUCGCAGAUCAGCAUGCUGCGGUGAAUACGUUCCCGGGCCUUGUACACACCGCCCGUCACGCCAUGGGAGUCGGUAACACCCGAAGCCUGUAGUCUAACCGCAAGGAGGACGCAGUCGAAGGUGGGAUUGAUGACUGGGGUG